UACGUAGGGUGCAAGCGUUGUCCGGAAUUAUUGGGCGUAAAGAGCUCGUAGGCGGUUUGUCGCGUCUGCUGUGAAACGCGAGGCUCAACCUCGCGCCUGCAGUGGGUACGGGCAGACUAGAGUGCGGUAGGGGAGAUUGGAAUUCCUGGUGUAGCGGUGAAAUGCGCAGAUAUCAGGAAGAACACCCGUGGCGAAGGCGGCUCUCUGGGACGGUACUGACGCUGAGACGCGAAAGCGUGGGGAGCGAACAGG
rnacentral:rRNA from 1 species